rnacentral:rRNA from 1 species
UACAGAGGGGGCAAGCGUUAUUCGGAAUUCUUGGGCGUAAGGGGCGCGUAGGCGGCCACCGCAAGUCGACUGUGAAAUCUCCGGGCUUAACCCGGAAAGGUCAGCCGAUACUGCGGGGCUAGAGUGCAGAAGGGGCAACUGGAAUUCUCGGUGUAGCGGUGAAAUGCGUAGAUAUCGAGAGGAACACCUGCGGCGAAGGCGGGUUGCUGGGCUGACACUGACGCUGAGGCGCGAAAGCUAGGGGAGCGAACGGG